rnacentral:rRNA from 1 species
UACGUAGGGAGCAAGCGUUGUCCGGAAUUAUUGGGCGUAAAGAGCUCGUAGGCGGUUUGUCGCGUCUGCUGUGAAAACCUAAGGCUCAACCUUGGGCUUGCAGUGGGUACGGGCAGACUAGAGUGCGGUAGGGGAGACUGGAAUUCCGUGGUGAUAGCGGUGGAAUGCGCAGAUAUCAGGAGGAACACCGAUGGCGAAGGCAGGUCUC